rnacentral:rRNA from 1 species
GACGAACGCUGGCGGCAGGCCUAACACAUGCAAGUCGAACGAGUGGCAGAAGGGUGAGUAAUGUCUGGGAAACUGCCCGAUGGAGGGGGAUAACUACUGGAAACGGUAGCUAAUACCGCAUACCAUCGGAUGUGCCCAGAUGGGAUUAGCUAGUAGGUGGGGUAACGGCUCACCUAGGCGACGAUCCCUAGCUGGUCUGAGAGGAUGACCAGCCACACAGGAACUGAGACACGGUCCAAACUCCUUCGGUAGGCAGCAGUGGGGAAUAUUGAACAAUGGGCUCAAGCCUGAUGCAGCCAUGCCGCGUGUAUGAAGAGGGACUUCGGGUUGUAAAGUACUUUCAGCGAGGAGGCGUUACUCGCAGAAGAAGCACCGGCUAACUCCGUACCAGCAGCCGCGGUAAUUC